rnacentral:rRNA from 1 species
CUGGCGGCGUGCCUAUCAUGCUCCCCGAGCGGACAGAUGGGAGCUUGCUCCCUGAUGUUAGCGGCGGACGGGUGAGUAACACGUGGGUAACCUGCCUGUAAGACUGGGAUAACUCCGGGAAACCGGGGCUAAUACCGGAUGGUUGUCUGAACCGCAUGGUUCAGACAUAAAAGGUGGCUUCGGCUACCACUUACAGAUGGACCCGCGGCGCAUUAGCUAGUUGGUGAGGUAACGGCUCACCAAGGCGACGAUGCGUAGCCGACCUGAGAGGGUGAUCGGCCACACUGGGACUGAGACACGGCCCAGACUCCUACGGGAGGCAGCAGUAGGGAAUCUUCCGCAAUGGACGAAAGUCUGACGGAGCAACGCCGCGUGAGUGAUGAAGGUUUUCGGAUCGUAAAGCUCUGUUGUUAGGGAAGAACAAGUGCCGUUCAAAUAGGGCGGCACCUUGACGGUACCUAACCAGAAAGCCACGGCUAACUACGUGCCAGCAGCCGCGGUAAUACGUAGGUGGCAAGCGUUGUCCGGAAUUAUUGGGCGUAAAGGGCUCGCAGCGGUUUCUUAAGUCUGAUGUGAAAGCCCCCGGCUCAACCGGGGAGGGUCAUUGGAAACUGGGGAACUUGACUGCAAAAGA